GACGAACGCUGGCGGCGUGCUUAACACAUGCAAGCCGAACGGUGAACCUCUUCGGAGGGGCUCAGUGGCGAACGGGUGAGUAACACGUGGGCAACCUGCCCCCGGCUCUGGGAUAACUCCAAGAAAUCGGGGCUAAUACCGGAUGUUCACCGCUUCCCGCAUGGGUGGUGGUGGAAAGGGUUUCCGGCUGGGGGUGGGCCCGCGGCAUAGCAGCUUGUUGGUGGGGUAGUGGCCUACCAAGGCGACGAUGGGUAGCCGGCCUGAGAGGGUGACCGGCCACACUGGGACUGAGACACGGCCCAGAGGCAUACGGGAGGCAGCAGUGGGGAAUAUUGCGCAAUGGGCGGAGGCAUGACGCAGCGACGCCGCGUGGGGGAUGACGGCCUUCGGGUUGUAAACAUCUUUCAGCAGGGACGAAGCGCAAGUGACGGUACCUGCAGAAGAAGCACCGGCAAACUACGU
rnacentral:rRNA from 1 species